UGUAACAAAUCAUAUCACCCUGUAGCACAAGACUACUCACUGAAGCUUAGCAGGGCAGAGUCUGGUCAGUACCUGGAUAGGAGACCACAUUGGAAAACCAGGUUGCUGUUGGUU
rnacentral:rRNA from 1 species